rnacentral:rRNA from 1 species
UGCUAAUACAUGCAAGUCGAGCGAACGGAYGAGAAGCUUGCUUCUCUGAUGUUAGCGGCGGACGGGUGAGUAACACGUGGAUAACCUACCUAUAAGACUGGGAUAACUUCGGGAAACCGGAGCUAAUACCGGAUAAUAUUUUGAACCGCAUGGUUCAAAAGUGAAAGACGGUCUUGCUGUCACUUAUAGAUGGAUCCGCGCUGCAUUAGCUAGUUGGUAAGGUAACGGCUUACCAAGGCAACGAUGCAUAGCCGACCUGAGAGGGUGAUCGGCCACACUGGAACUGAGACACGGUCCAGACUCCUACGGGAGGCAGCAGUAGGGAAUCUUCCGCAAUGGGCGAAAGCCUGACGGAGCAACGCCGCGUGAGUGAUGAAGGUCUUCGGAUCGUAAAACUCUGUUAUUAGGGAAGAACAUAUGUGUAAGUAACUGUGCACAUCUUGACGGUACCUAAUCAGAAAGCCACGGCUAACUACGUGCCAGCAGCCGCGGUAAUACGUAGGUGGCAAGCGUUAUCCGGAAUUAUUGGGCGUAAAGCGCGCGUAGGCGGUUUUUUAAGUCUGAUGUGAAAGCCCACGGCUCAACCGUGGAGGGUCAUUGGAAACUGGAAAACUUGAGUGCAGAAGAGGAAAGUGGAAUUCCAUGUGUAGCGGUGAAAUGCGCAGAGAUAUGGAGGAACACCAGUGGCGAAGGCGACUUUCUGGUCUGUAACUGACGCUGAUGUGCGAAAGCGUGGGGAUCAAACAGGAUUAGAUACCCUGGUAGUCCACGCCGUAAACGAUGAGUGCUAAGUGUUAGGGGGUUUCCGCCCCUUAGUGCUGCAGCUAACGCAUUAAGCACUCCGCCUGGGGAGUACGACCGCAAGGUUGAAACUCAAAGGAAUUGACGGGGACCCGCACAAGCGGUGGAGCAUGUGGUUUAAUUCGAAGCAACGCGAAGAACCUUACCAAAUCUUGACAUCCUUUGACAACUCUAGAGAUAGAGCCUUCCCCUUCGGGGGACAAAGUGACAGGUGGUGCAUGGUUGUCGUCAGCUCGUGUCGUGAGAUGUUGGGUUAAGUCCCGCAACGAGCGCAACCCUUAAGCUUAGUUGCCAUCAUUAAGUUGGGCACUCUAAGUUGACUGCCGGUGACAAACCGGAGGAAGGUGGGGAUGACGUCAAAUCAUCAUGCCCCUUAUGAUUUGGGCUACACACGUGCUACAAUGGACAAUACAAAGGGCAGCGAAACCGCGAGGUCAAGCAAAUCCCAUAAAGUUGUUCU